AGCAGCCGCGGUAAUUCCAGCUCCAAUAGCGUAUAUUAAAGUUGUUGCAGUUAAAAAGCUCGUAGUUGAAUUUCGAGAUCAAAUUGUUGGUCGUGCCUCGGUACGUACUGGCAUUAUUGAUUUCUCCCUUCUGAAGAACCACGAUGUCAUUAAUUUGGUGUCGUGGGGAAUCAGGACCGUUACUUUGAAAAAAUUAGAGUGUUUAAAGCAGGCUCACGCUUGAAUACAUUAGCAUGGAAUAAUGAAAUAGGACGUUUGAUUCUAUUUUGUUGGUUUCUAGGAUCGACGUAAUGAUUAAUAGGGAUAGUUGGGGGCAUUAGUAUUCAAUUGUCAGAGGUGAAAUUCUUGGAUUUAUUGAAGACUAACUACUGCGAAAGCAUUUGCCAAGGAUGUUUUCAUUAAUCAAGAACGA
rnacentral:rRNA from 1 species